rnacentral:rRNA from 1 species
UACGUAGGGGGCAAGCGUUGUCCGGAUUUACUGGGCGUAAAGAGCGUGUAGGCGGCCACGCAGGUCCGUUGUGAAAACUGGAGGCUCAACCUCCAGCUGUCGACGGAAACCGUGUGGCUAGAGUCCGGAAGAGGAGAGUGGAAUUCCUGGUGUAGCGGUGAAAUGCGCAGAUAUCAGGAGGAACACCGAUUGCGAAGGCAGCUCGCUGGGACGUAACUGACGCUGAGACGCGAAAGCGUGGGGAGCAAACAGG